CUACGGAGGGUGCAAGCGUUGUUCGGAAUCACUGGGCGUAAAGGGCGCGCAGGCGGUUUGGUAAGUCAGAUGUGAAAGCCCACGGCUCAACCGUGGAAGUGCAUUUGAAACUGCCAGACUUGAGUACCAGAGGGGAAAGUGGAAUUCCCGGUGUAGAGGUGAAAUUCGUAGAUAUCGGGAGGGAUACCGGUGGCGAAGGCGACUUUCUGGCUGGAUACUGACGCUGAGGCGCGAAAGCGUGGGGAGCAAACAGGAUUAGAUACCCUAGUAGUCC
rnacentral:rRNA from 1 species